rnacentral:rRNA from 1 species
CCCUUAGAUGUUCUGGGCCGCACGCGUGCUACACUGAGUGGAUCAGCGGGUCAGGUUGCGCGAAAGCGUUACCUAAUCUUUAAAUCCGCUCGUGAUGGGGAUUGACGGUUGCAAUUUUCUGUCAUGAACGAGGAAUACCUUGUAAGCGCGGGUCAUCAUCCCGCGCUGAAUACGUCCCUGCCCUUUGUACACACCGCCCGUCGCUCCUACCGAUUGAGUGGUCCGGUGAGGCUUUGGGAUCUGAGCGGAAAGAGCGUUUCGCUGUUUCUGCUCGGAAAACUCAGUCGAACCUUAUCAUUUAGAGGAAGGAGAAGUCGUAACA